rnacentral:misc_RNA from 1 species
GAAAUGCGAUAACUAGUGUGAAUUGCAGAAUUCCGUGAAUCAUCGAGUCUUUGAACGCACAUUGCGCCCCCUGGUAUUCCGGGGGGCAUGCCCGUCCGAGCGUCAUUGCUGCCCAUCAAGCACGGCUUGUGUGUUGGGUCGUCGUCCCCUCUCCGGGGGGGACGGGCCCCAAAGGCAGCGGCGGCACCGCGUCCGAUCCUCGAGCGUAUGGGGCUUUGUCACCCGCUCUGUAGGCCCGGCCGGCGCUUGCCGAACGCAAAUCAAUCUUUUUCCAGGUUGACCUCGGAUCAGGUAGGGAUACCCGCUGAACUUAAGC